AUGUCUAAGUAUAAAYCAUAUACGGUGAAACUGCGAAUGGCUCAUUACAACAGUUAUAGUUUAUUUGAUGAUGAAUUUUACAUGGAUAACCGUAGAAAACUAGAGCUAAUACAUGCGUAAAGGCCCUGCCUCUAGCGGGCUGUAUCWAUUAGAUAUGAAACCAAUUGCGUCMSCAUUGAGAUGAUUCAUAAUAACUGAUCGGAUCGCACCCAGUGCGAUAGAUCAUUCAAGUUUCUGCCCUAUCAGCUUUCGAUGGUAGUGUAUUGGAYUACCAUGGCGAUCACGGGUAACGGGGAAUUAGGGUUCRRUUCCGGAGAGGGAGCCUGAGAAACGGCUACCACAUCUAAGGAAGGCAGCAGGCGCGCAAAUUACCCAAUCCUGACYCAGGGAGGUAGUGACAAGAAAUAACAGACCGGGUCCCUCUGGGAUCACGGGAUUGUAAUGAGGACAAUGU
rnacentral:rRNA from 1 species